UACGGGGGGAGCAAGCGUUGUUCGGAUUUACUGGGCGUAAAGGGCGCGUAGGCGGCAAUUCAAGUCAGCUGUGAAAUCUCCGGGCUUAACUCGGAACGGUCAGCUGAUACUGCUUUGCUAGAGUGCAGAAGGGGCAAUCGGAAUUCCUGGUGUAGCGGUGAAAUGCGCAGAUAUCAGGAGGAACACCGGUGGCGAAGGCGGUUCUCUGGGCAUGACCUGACGCUGAGGAGCGAAAGUGUGGGGAGCGAACAGG
rnacentral:rRNA from 1 species